rnacentral:rRNA from 1 species
GAUGAACGCUAGCGGCAGGCUUAAUACAUGCAAGUCGAGGGGCAGCAUGUCCCGCAGCAAUGCGGGAUGAUGGCGACCGGCAAACGGGUGCGGAACACGUACAGAACCUUCCUUUAAGCGGGGAAUAGCCCAGAGAAAUUUGGAUUAAUACCCCAUAGUACUAACGGGUGGCAUCACUUGUUAAUUAAAGAUUUAUCACUUAAAGAUGGCUGUGCGUCUGAUUAGGUAGUUGGCGGGGUAACGGCCCACCAAGCCAACGAUCAGUAACUGGUGUGAGAGCACGACCAGUCACACGGGCACUGAGACACGGGCCCGACUCCUACGGGAGGCAGCAGUAAGGAAUAUUGGUCAAUGGACGCAAGUCUGAACCAGCCAUGCCGCGUGAAGGAUGAAGGUCCUCUGGAUUGUAAACUUCUUUUAUCUGGGACGAAACCUGUUUAAUCUUAAGCAGCUGACGGUACCAGAGGAAUAAGCACCGGCUAACUCCGUGCCAGCAGCCGCCGUAAUAC